GGAUUUUGGAAAUCCGUCUCUAAGCUUAGAGACGGAUUUUGGAAAUCCGUCUCUAAUCUUAGAGACGGAUUUUGGAAAUCCGUCUCUAAGUUUAGAGACGGAUUUUGGAAAUCCGUCUCUAAGUUUAGAGACGGAUUUUGAAAAUCCGUCUCUAAGUUUAGAGACGGAUUUGGAAAAUCC
rnacentral:pre_miRNA from 1 species